rnacentral:tRNA from 1 species
GAGGACAUAGCUCAAGUGGUAGAGCGCGUGCUUAGCAUGCAUGAGGCCCUGGGUUCAAUCCCUAGUACCUCCU